GACGAACGCUGGCGGCGUGCCUAACACAUGCAAGUCGAGCGAGUGAAUCUCCUUCGGGAGUGAAGCUAGCGGCGGACGGGUGAGUAACACGUGGGCAACCUGCCUCAUAGAGGGGAAUAGCCUUCCGAAAGGAAGAUUAAUACCGCAUAAGAUUGUAGCUUCGCAUGAAGUAGCAAUUAAAGGAGCAAUCCGCUAUGAGAUGGGCCCGCGGCGCAUUAGCUAGUUGGUGAGGUAACGGCUCACCAAGGCGACGAUGCGUAGCCGACCUGAGAGGGUGAUCGGCCACAUUGGGACUGAGACACGGCCCAGACUCCUACGGGAGGCAGCAGUGGGGAAUAUUGCACAAUGGGGGAAACCCUGAUGCAGCAACGCCGCGUGAGUGAUGACGGCCUUCGGGUUGUAAAGCUCUGUCUUCAGGGACGAUAAUGACGGUACCUGAGGAGGAAGCCACGGCUAACUACGUGCCAGCAGCCGCAGUAA
rnacentral:rRNA from 1 species